GCCGGGCACAGUGGUGCAUGCCUGUAAUUCCAGAACCUUGGGAGGCUGAGACAGGAGAAUUGUAAGUUCAAAGCCAGCCUCAGCAACUGCGAGGCACUAAGCAACUCAGUGAGACCCUGUCUCUA
rnacentral:sRNA from 1 species